rnacentral:rRNA from 1 species
GAUGAACGCUGGCGGCGUGCCUAAUACAUGCAAGUCGAGCGAACGGACGAGAAGCUUGCUUCUCUGAUGUUAGCGGCGGACGGGUGAGUAACACGUGGAUAACCUACCUAUAAGACUGGGAUAACUUCGGGAAACCGGAGCUAAUACCGGAUAAUAUUUUGAACCGCAUGGUUCAAAAGUGAAAGACGGUCUUGCUGUCACUUAUAGAUGGAUCCGCGCUGCAUUAGCUGGUUGGUAAGGUAACGGCUUACCAAGGCAACGAUGCAUAGCCGACCUGAGAGGGUGAUCGGCCACACUGGAGCGGAGACACGGUCCAGACUCCUACGGGAGGCAGCAGUAGGGAAUCUUCCGCAAUGGGCGAAAGCCUGACGGAGCAACGCCGCGUGAGUGAUGAAGGUCUUCGGAGCGUAAAACUCUGUUAUUAGGGAAGAACAUAUGUGUAAGUAACUGUGCACAUCUUGACGGUACCUAAUCAGAAAGCCACGGCUAACUACGUG